rnacentral:lncRNA from 1 species
CUCGAAUGAAGAAAGCUCUAUAUCUUUAUUUCAAAGGAAGAAAGAAGUGCUGUGCUGACUCACCCAACGGUGAAUGAGGAGGCUCUUACUACUCACCUAAGAGAAUAAAUAAAUAGAAAGAAACUAAGAUAGAACCACGUUAGUGGCAGAUAGAGUAGGUGACUGUGAAGCUCUCCGACCGAGGCAAUUCCAAGUUGGAGCUUCGAUAGCACACGAGUCUGGAGCUGUGAGGGCUCACUCGUCCUUGCCUCGAGCCGAUGACGCCAAACCCAAAGUUUGAAAAGCAUCCGAAGACGCAUCAGUAGACGUAAAAGAGAUCCUAUUCCCUAAGUGGAAACUUCCUUUCUUCCCAUAGGGAAAGGCUAACCAUCUUGAAAGCUACUUUAUCAACAAGCUCUACCCAUUGGUCUGAAUCUUUGGAUUGUCUUCCUUCUAUUUCUGACCUCCUUUUGUAGA